rnacentral:rRNA from 1 species
UUGUCUCAAAGAUUAAGCCAUGCAUGUCUCAGUACAAGCCAAAUUAAGGUGAAACCGCGAAAGGCUCAUUAAAUCAGUUAUGGUUCCUUAGAUCGUACCCACAAUUACUUGGAUAACUGUGGUAAUUCUAGAGCUAAUACAUGCAAACAGAGCUCCGACCGGAGACGGAAGGAGUGCUUUUAUUAGAUCAAAACCAAUCGGUGGCGAUUGGUGACUCUGAAUAACUUUACGCUGAUCGCACGGUCAUCGCACCGGCGACGCAUCUUUCAAAUGUCUGCCUUAUCAACUGUCGAUGGUAGGUUCUGCGCCUACCAUGGUUGUAACGGGUAACGGGGAAUCAGGGUUCGAUUCCGGAGAGGGAGCCUGAGAAACGGCUACCACAUCCAAGGAAGGCAGCAGGCGCGCAAAUUACCCACUCCCGGCACGGGGAGGUAGUGACGAAAAAUAACGAUACGGGACUCAUCCGAGGCCCCGUAAUCGGAAUGAGUACACUCUAAACCCUUUAACGAGGAUCAAUUGGAGGGCAAGUCUGGUGCCAGCAGCCGCGGUA